rnacentral:rRNA from 1 species
GAUGAACGCUAGCGGCAGGCUUAACACAUGCAAGUCGAGGGGUAACAGGAGAUAGUUUACUAUUUUGCUGACGACCGGCGCACGGGUGAGUAACGCGUAUACAAUUUACCUUUUACAGGAGGAUAGCCCAGAGAAAUUUGGAUUAAUACUCCAUGGUAUUAUAGAAUCGCAUGGUUUUAUAAUUAAAGUUUCGGCGGUAGAAGAUGAGUAUGCGUCCUAUUAGCUAGAUGGUGAGGUAACGGCUCACCAUGGCGACGAUAGGUAGGGGUCCUGAGAGGGAGAUCCCCCACACUGGUACUGAGACACGGACCAGACUCCUACGGGAGGCAGCAGUGAGGAAUAUUGGUCAAUGGAGGCAACUCUGAACCAGCCAUGCCGCGUGCAGGAAGACUGCCCCUAUGGGUUGUAAACUGCUUUUUUAUACAGGAAGAAACUUAUCCACGUGUGGAUAACUGACGGUACUGUACGAAUAAGGACCGCUAACUCCGUG